AGCAGCCGCGGUAAUUCCAGCUCCAAUAGCGUAUAUUAAAGUUGUUGCAGUUAAAAGCUCGUAGUUGAAUUUCGGGAUCAAUUAAUUGGUCGUGCCUCUGGUACGUACUGAUUUUAUUGGUUUCUCCCUUCUGACGAACCAUGAUGUCAUUAAUUUGGUGUCGUGGAGAAUCAGGACUGUUACUUUGAAAAAUUAGAGUGUUUAAAGCAAGCUAACGCUUGAAUACAUUAGCAUGGAAUAAUGAAAUAGGACGUUUGAUCCUAUUUUGUUGGUUUCUAGGAUCGACGUAAUGAUUAAUAGGGAUAGUUGGGGGCAUUAGUAUUCAAUUGUCAGAGGUGAAAUUCUUGGAUUUAUUGAAGACUAACUACUGCGAAAGCAUUUGCCAAGGAUGUUUUCAUUAAUCAAGAACGAAAGUUAGGGAUCGAAGACGAUCAGAUACCGUCGUAGUCUUAACCAUAAACUAUGCCGACUAGGGAUCGGAUGAUGUUAAUUUUUAAUGUACUCAUUCGGCGCCUUAACC
rnacentral:misc_RNA from 1 species